UACGUAGGGUGUGAGCGUUGUCCGGAAUUAUUGGGCGUAAAGGGCUCGUAGGCGGUUUGUCGCGUCGGGAGUGAAAACUCAGGGCUUAACCCUGAGCCUGCUUCCGAUACGGGCAGACUAGAGGUAUGCAGGGGAGAACGGAAUUCCUGGUGUAGCGGUGAAAUGCGCAGAUAUCAGGAGGAACACCGGUGGCGAAGGCGGUUCUCUGGGCAUUACCUGACGCUGAGGAGCGAAAGUGUGGGGAGCGAACAGG
rnacentral:rRNA from 1 species